rnacentral:rRNA from 1 species
UACGUAGGGGGCAAGCGUUGUCCGGAAUUAUUGGGCGUAAAGAGCGCGUAGGCGGCCCGGUAAGUCCGCUGUGAAAGUCGAGGGCUCAACCCUCGAAUGCCGGUGGAUACUGUCGGGCUAGAGUGCGGAAGAGGCGAGUGGAAUUCCUGGUGUAGCGGUGAAAUGCGCAGAUAUCGGGAGGAACACCAAUGGCGAAGGCAGCUUGCUGGGACGGUACUGACGCUGAGACGCGAAAGCGUGGGGAGCAAACAGG